AUAUGAAGAGAUGAUUAAGGAUGCGAUUGUUACGUUGAAGGAGAGGACUGGUUCGAGUCAGUAUGCGAUCACUAAGUUUAUUGAGGAGAAGCAAAAGCAACUUCCAUCGAACUUUAAGAAGAUUUUGUUAUUCCAUUUGAAGAAACUUGUGGCUUCCGGGAAGUUGGUGAAGGUUAAGAGCUCGUUCAAGCUUAAACCAGCGAAGUCGGCAGUUGUGAAACCUGCUGCUCCUGCGAAGAAGAAACCCGUAGCUGCUAAGCCGAAGCCUAAAGCCGUGGCUAAGCCCAAGGCUGUGGCUAAAUCUGCUGCGAAGCCGAAAGCAGCUGCAAAGCCAAAGCCAAAGACGGCUGCCAAACCCAAAGCUGCUCCUAAACCUAAACCUGCUCCAGCUAAGUCAAAGAGCAGUGCUGUUGCGAAGCCCAAAGCUGCAACAAAGACUAAAGCCGCUUCCAAGCCGAAAGCCAAGGAAAAGCCUGCCAAGGUUGCGAGGACAUCGACGAGAACCUCACCAGGAAGGAAGGCACCGGCGCCGAAACCGGCGGUGAAGAAAGCGCCGGCAGCCAAGAAGGCUCCGGCGAAAAGUGUCAAGGCUAAGAAAGUGAAAUCUCCGGCGAAAAAGGCUCCCGCUAAAAGAGGAAGGAAGUGAAGGAGAUAGAUGGUGGCGGCGGUCCUGUAAAUCCGUAAUCCUUGUGGGUGUAUAGACCCUUACAUGCCGUGCUAUAGAGGACUUUACUCCAGACUUUUCGAAUUUUUCUUUUAUUUGUUUAUUUGUAGACUUUUUUUUUCUUUUUCCCAAGUUGAUGUAUCACUCAGCUUAGUUUUUAAUGGAAA
rnacentral:misc_RNA from 1 species